rnacentral:piRNA from 1 species
AAAUUGAUCUCUCUGGCAAGC